UUGAGUUUUUUUGAGUUGUAUAUUUUGACAAAACAAUUAUGCUAAGUUGCAAUGUUACCAGAAAAACAUCAAUAUUAGAAGUACAAUGUUUACUUUGAGAAAUAAAACCGGUAUUAUUUAGAGACAAGUGUGUUAAUCUCAUGUAAAAUAUGCUGCAGAAAUGAUUACAACUUGUCUUUUUGUAUUUAUAAACAGUAAUGUGCAAAUGUUUUAGAAAUAAAGAAAAAUGUUAAAUA